ACGCCCGUUUUAAAAGCGUUUAGGAGGCGAUCAACGAUCGCCUCCUAAACUUAAAUGGUGUCGUUGGAAUGCCUCGAUCAGGAGGCAUCCAGCGACAACAAACACUUACCUCUGGGUGGGCUGUGACCGCUCCGGAGAGCGGUCACAGCCGCAGCUGCCGGUGAUCUUCGCCAUCCGCAAGAUGGCGGCGGCCCGGGAAAUAAAACAAUAAAGGUGAAAAGUUCGCUAGAUGGUCUCCAGACCCUCUAGAGAACUGGCUCCACUUGCUGGUUGAAUACAGGUACUGCAUUCAACCAUGCAAGUCAAUGGAGCCCAGCUUUCUAAUCACUAUGUGAUUAGAAAAAAAAUAAAAAAAAAUGUGCUAACAUUUAAAAAUAAUUAUGCAGUGAUGUCACUAGAUGAACCAUCCAGUACCAGCAAAA